CGAGGACUCGCAUCCUGUCUGCUGCCUCAGAGAAUGUUGGUCUUGCAAACUGGGAUCGGUUGAGACGACCAUCUCUGGAUUUCCCAGCUCCGGCAGAAGGAGUUGCUGCUGGUCCUUUACAAGUUCCUUUGUUUCUGAUAAGCUCCACCGACAUGGACAUGUAGGUGUUUGACAAACACAUGAGGCCUCUUUGGAAGACAAUUCAAAUCAUCACCACUGCAAUUACAAAGAGCUGGCGCCUGAGGUUGGGAGCGCUGUGAAAUUCUCAGCAUUUGGCAUCCCUCCUGAACAGGGACAUCUCAUUUGAAAACCAGAUGGAAAGCUCUGGAAUGAAACAGGGUAAAGAAGUUGUCAAUCAACUAAGUAACUUACCUCAAAACUCCUUCAGAGGCUACCAUCAUUUGCCAAAAAGGACCUAACAGUCACACAUGAGAUCAACUGAAGUCAGCUCAUGAUCAACAGCACAGAGACCAGUGGGAAAGUCUGGUACCAGAGGACUUGAGGAAGCAAACCAUGAAGUAGCAGAUUAUUGAUCGUAAGAAUUUACAUGGAAAUGACAUGGAUUAUUUACCAUCCUCCCUGAUUUUAGAGAGAAAAACUUGGGCAUAGAAAUGUCAAGUCAUCAUUCCAAGUGCAAACUAAAUUCACAAGCAGGAAUCAAAAGGAAACCUUCAAUAUCAUCAUUUAACUGCCACCAGAUAUUGAGUGAUUACUGUGUGUCAAAUAUACUAUUAAGUGUUUUAAUACAUGAUCAAC